ACGACCUUACUUGAACAGGAUCUGUUCUAUAGGCUCGUACCGCUGCCUCCUUUACUAAUAAGGAGGCAACCACUUAAGUCUGGUUGAUGUAUUCUUAACCUCUUGGCUAGAGCCAUUAAAUGGCUUUGAUUGCUCCUGAUGGUAGUAUCCAAUGGCUGUAGAGGAUCGUUCAAGGUAGCCUAGAGGUUGUCUGACAGACU
rnacentral:snoRNA from 1 species